GGUUCGGUGCCGGACCGGGUCGGACGCUGGCAGGAUGCUUUACACAUGCAAGUCGAACGGCAGCACGGACCCUAUCGGUCUGGUGGCGAGUGGCGAACGGGUGGGUAAUGUAUCGGGCUGAUGCCCUAAUGGCGGGGGAUAACUACGCAGCGUAGCCAACCUGCUGCUACGCCCUUUGAGGGAAAGCGAGACCUUCGGGCCUCGCACUAUUAGAGCGGCCGAUAUCGGAUUAGCUAGUUGGUGGAGGUAACGGCUCACCAAGGCGACGAUCCGUAGCUGGUUUGAGAGGACGACCAGCCACACUGGGACUGAGACACGGCCCAGACUCCUACGGGAGGCAGCAGUGGGGAAUUUUGGACAAUGGGGAAACCCUGAUCCAGCCAUCCCGCGUGUGCGAUGAAGGCCUUCGGGUUGUAAAGCACUUUUGGCAGGAAAGAAACGGCACGGGAUAAUACCCGAUGCAACUGACGGUACCUGCAGAAUAAGCACCGGCUAACUACGUGCCAGCAGCCGCGGUAAUACGUAGGGUGCAAGCGUUAAUCGGAAUUACUGGGCGUAAAGCGUGCGCAGGCGGUUCGGAAAAGAGAAGAUGUGAAAUCGGAAACAACUUUGGAACUGCAUUUUAACUACCGAGCUAGAGUGUGUCAGAAAGGGAGGUGGAAUUCCGCGUGUAGCAGUGAAAUGCGUAGAUAUGCGGAGGAACACCGAUGGCGAAGGCAGCCUCCUGGGAUAACUGCUCAUGCACGAAAGCGUGGGGAGCAAACGGGAUUAGAUACCCUGGUAGUCCACGCCUAACCGAUGUCGAAACUGGCUUUCAGGUGGGACGCCCCAAAGGGCCUUGUGUACCAACUAACGCGUGAAAUUAAUACCUGGGGAGUACGGUCGCAAGAUUAAAACUCAAAGGAAUUGACGGGGACCCGCACAAGCGGUGGAUGAUGUGGAUUAAUUCGAUGCAACGCGAAAAACCUUACCUACCCUUGACAUGUCUGGAAUCCCGAAGAGAUUUGAGGUGCUCAUAGCAAGAGAACCGGAACACAGGUGCUGCAUGGCUGUCGUCAGCUCGUGUCGUGAGAUGUUGGGUUAAGUCCCGCAACGAGCGCAACCCUUGUCAUUAGUUGCUACGAAAGGGCACUCUAAUGAGACUGCCGGUGACAAACCGGAGGAAGGUGGGGAUGACGUCAAGUCCUCCUUGGCCCUUAUGGGUAGGGCUUCACACGUCGUAAUGGUCGGGACAGAGGGUCGCCAACCCGCGAAGAAGGCCAAUCUGACCCGAUCGUAGUCGGAUCGCAGUCUGCAACUCGACUGCGUGAAGUCGGAAUCGCUAGUAAUCGCGGAUCAGCAUGUCGCGGUGAAUACGUUCCCGGGUCUUGUACACACCGCCCGUCACACCAUGGGAGUGGGUUUUACCAAGUAGUUAACCUAACCGCAAGGAAGGCGAUUACUACGGAUAGGAUAUGACUGGGGUAGAGAGAGUCGGCUAACG
rnacentral:rRNA from 1 species